AUGUCACAUUGACCAGUAGAGAGGUCGUUGUAAAGUUCUAAAAUGUCCAGAAUGAUUGGGUGACUUGAAGUAACAGUUUGGAGUGCUUGAAGGCAAAAUAACGAAUCUAAAAACAAUGAUUU